rnacentral:rRNA from 1 species
AUCAUCUGCCAACGACUUAAAGGCACUCGAUUUCAUUUGAUCUCGGAAGCUAAGCGGGGUUGACCCCGAUUGGCACUGGAUGGGAGACCACCUGACAAUAGCAGGUGCGGUAGGGC